GAGACCGAACUAUAGAGUGCGGCCGCCCCUCCCUUCGCCUCUCUUUCCACUCUUUCCAGCACUGCUCUCUUUCUCCUCACUUACAAUUAGGCCGGUUAAAUGAACUAUUGCCUGCUUACACCGCGCCACUCCGUUCCGUGACUCGCUCCAGGUUGCACCUAUAACCUGCCUGAUCUCCACACUCACACCUCUCGCUGUCCUGUCCAACUUCUCUCUCAUCACCAUGGACAUCCUCACUCUGGACCCCACCGGCCUUUACUGAAGACCUCCGUCCGACCUUCAGCAAUCCUCCUCCGACCGAGAGAGAAAAAAACUGAAUUAAAUUUUAAUCCGCGAGAAAGACAGAAAGAAACGAGAGCAAGAUGCAAAUGCUGAUCCUGGACCCGACGGGCCUUUACUAGGGAGCCGGCCCGACCCUGACCGCGCGAGAUGCGGCAGCGACACCUCAGACUCUGCAAAAAGGUCAAGACGAGAUGGAAGUCCAACACAAAGGCGCGGCUCGCCCUUGCUGUGAUAGCCAGCGGACGCACGGACCACUCGCACCCUGUGCCAUCCCCUCAUCUACACCUUCUAUCUAACAGAUAUCAGUGCGAAAAGGACAUUGUUCUGAUGACUGCAUAGCAAAGUCGACGCGCCUACAUUGCCACAAAAUUCCUUGUUCACGCCGCGAUCAAAAUUUCGGAGAAGACACCAGCGUCCAUUCCUCUCAAAAUAAAAAUCAAUUUUUACGGUCAAAUUUGAGAAGAACCAAUCCAACUUUAAUAGCUAUUAAAAUAAAAAGAGUUAAUUUAUGAGACAGAUUUAAGAUUUAUAUAUCAUGAGCUUCUUCCGAAAGAGGAAAUUCGUAUGUUAGUAAGUUACCAACUGUUGCAAAAAUCUGAUGUAAACAAAAAAAAAUUAUAUGUACGCCACUCCAAUCAGAGACAUGUAUUAAAAAAGAAAUGAAUUACAAAAUCAUUUCAGGGUAGAGUUCACUUAUUGUAUGUAAUAAAAAUUCAAUGUAUGACAGGAUGAUAGCUGAAAAGCAGAACUUUUCCAACGGGGACAAACAGAAAAUCGCAAUCUUCAUUACGAAAAUGGAAUGUUUUGUGUCAAAUUCAAAUUUUGAGUUACAAAUUAAUUUAUUUAGAAUGAGUAAAACGAGCACCAUGUCUGGUUAUUGUCGAUCAAAAUCACACAAAAAUAAUUUCUGUAUAUUUUGGCAUAAUAACUCCUGGUUCCAAUUUUACUCUGACAAAAAUUGUAAUUGUAAGAUGAAAGGCCGUAGAAUUAAAUUGAACAGACCUUAAUUUAUUUUUUAAUAAAAUAGAAAUACACCGCAA